rnacentral:rRNA from 1 species
UCGAGAAUAUUUCGCAAUGGGCGCAAGCCUGACGAAGCGACGCCGUGUGGAUGAAGAAGGCCUUCGGGUUGUAAAAUCCUGUCAUCUGGGAGCAAAUAGUUUGGAUGAAUAAUCUGAGCUAAUGAGAGUACCAGAGAAGGAAGCACUGGCUAACUCCGUGCCAGCAGCUGCGGUAAUACGGAGGGUGCAAGCGUUAGUCGGAAUAACUGGGCGUAAAGGGUGCGUAGGCGGGUUUAUAAGUUAGAUGUGAAAUUACUAGGCUCAACCUAGUAGCAGCAUAUAAAACUAUAAAUCUAGAGGAAUGGUGGGGAAAACGGAAUUCCACGUGUAGCGGUGAAAUGCGUAGAUAUGUGGAAGAACACCUGUGGCGAAAGCGGUUUUCUAGCCUACUCCAGACGCUGAGGCACGAAAGCAAGGGGAUCAAACA